rnacentral:lncRNA from 1 species
AGCCUGAACAGGUGCCAGGCAGCGUCCAUGGAGAGUUCGGAGUUUCUUGGUGACACAUGUCCUUAGGCAGCUUCAGAUUUGACAGCCAUUUCCGCAAUUUACUGACUGGCCUUGGGAACUCCCAGAAACUGGAGUUCACUGUCCCGCAGACUCUGGGAACCCAAGUUCUGGAUUACAUAGAGCAUGCAGCCUUUUACACAGCACGGCACAGCAAGCAAGCAGUUGCUGACUGAAUCUCUCUAGGGUACCUCUGUUCUCCUGGCCCGCACAUUGUGUGCCAAGCUACACCAUGGCACAAAGCCUGCCCUGCAGGGGCCAUAGUCUGAUGGGUGAAAGCAGACAGACAGAAGAAAGAGAACUACAGGAGCCCAGAAAAAAGUAGGAGGAACCAAAGUGUUAGAGAAUUUUGAGGAAGAUGAUACACAACUGGAUGAAAUGAAAAAGACAGGAAGCACAAGAAGCUGUCUAUCAUCCUUCCCGGCUGCCACAACAUACGCCCCACCCAAUCAACUGGGCCAAAGGCUAUGGAUUUUGUUUGCCUGUUUUAAGGGCAGAGUCUCACUCAUGUGGCUCAGGCUGACCUGGAACUCACUGUAUACACCAGGCUGGCCUCAAGCUCACAGAGAUCCAAAGGGAUCUUGAGCCUAAUUUGUUUUCCUCCCUUAAAUGAGUUCCUCAGGUGUUCUGAUCACAACAGUGCAGAGUAACUCACGGCCCCCAGCAUUCAUUCAAGAUCCUGGCGAUGAAUUAAAACGGGAGAUGAAGAACCUCGGGUAGACACCUUAAUCUAAGCACUCAGGAGAGAAAGUCAUGGAGUUCUCUGUAAUGUGCAGGUCAGUUUGACCUAUAUAAGAUUUAGGAGGAUCAAGGCUAUGUGGAUAGACCCUGUUUGAUAAGAAAGAAAGAAAGAAAGAAAGAAAGAAAGAAAGAAGAAGAGAAGAGAAGAGAAGAGAAGAGAAGAGAAGAGAAAAGAAAAGAAAAGAAAAGAAAAGAAAGAACAGCAACAAAGAACCAAGGGGUGCCUUCUUAAUGGGACAGACCGAGCAGAAUGUAUGGGCUGCAUAUUCUGUAUACUGUGUAUUAAAUGUUAAAUAAAUAUACAUUAUGUU